UACGUAGGGCGCAAGCGUUGUCCGGAAUCAUUGGGCGUAAAGAGCUCGUAGGUGGUCUGUUACGUCUGCUGUGAAAUCCUAGGGCUUAACCCUGGGCCUGCAGUGGAUACGGGCAGACUAGAGGUAGGUAGGGGAGAAUGGAAUUCCCGGUGUAGCGGUGAAAUGCUUAGAUAUGGAGCAAUACGAACAGCCAAGUUAGGCGGAAGGCCAUGCGAUUGCCA
rnacentral:rRNA from 1 species